rnacentral:rRNA from 1 species
ACGGGUGAGUAAUGCAUAGGAAUCUGCCUUGAAGUGGGGGAUAACCUGAGGAAACUUGGGCUAAGACCGCAUAAACUCUGAGGAGGAAAGCUAGGGGUAACUCUGGUGCUUUGAGAUGAGCCUAUGUCUGAUUAGCUAGUUGGUGGGGUAAAGGCCUACCAAGGCGACGAUCGGUAACUGGUCUGAGAGGACGGACAGUCACACUGGGACUGAGACACGGCCCAGACUCCUACGGGAGGCAGCAGUGGGGAAUAUUGGACAAUGGGGGCAACCCUGAUCCAGCGAUGCCGCGUGUGUGAAGAAGGCCUGCGGGUUGUAAAGCACUUUUAUUGGGGAAGAUGGUGUUUGUGGUGCAUAGCCAUGGACAUUGACGGUACCUGAGGAAUAAGCACCGGCUAACUCUGUGCCAGCAGCCGCGGUAAUACAGAGGGUGCGAGCGUUAAUCGGAAUUACUGGGCGUAAAGGGCGCGUAGGUGGAUGUAUAAGUCAGAUGUGAAAGUCCUGGGCUUAACCUGGGGAUUGCAUUUGAUACUGUAUAUCUGGAGUGAAGUAGAGGGUAGCGGAAUUUCCGGUGUAGC